UGCUGAACAUAAAACGUGUCUACUGAAAACAAUAAAAGAUAGCCCCCACACAAGACAACACCCACCGUCUCUUCUCUCCAUAGAAAGAAAGGGAGAAAGAAAGAGAGAAAGAAAGAAAGAAAGAAGACGCAGUUGUUGUUGUUGGUGAUUCUGAGAAGAAGAUGGAUCUGGCACCGGAGGAGCUUCAAUUUCUGAACAUCCCCGACAUCCUGCGAGAAUCGACCUCAAUUCCAAAGCGUUCUCCGAAGACCUUCUACCUCAUCACGCUCACCCUUAUCUUCCCUCUCUCCUUCGCGAUCCUCGCCCACUCCCUCUUCACCCACCCUCUCAUCGUUCAGCUCCAGAACCCCUUCAACGACCCCUCCCAGACCUCCCACCAGUGGACCCUCCUCCUCCUCAUCCAGUUCUCCUACCUCCUCUUCCUCUUCGCAUUCUCCCUCCUCUCCACCGCCGCCGUCGUCUUCACCGUCGCAUCCCUCUACACCGCCAAGCCUGUCUCCUUCUCCUCCACCAUCUCCGCCAUCCCACGCGUCUUCAAGCGCCUCUUCAUCACCUUCCUCUGGGUCACCCUCCUCAUGAUCCUCUACAACUCCCUCAUCCUCCUCUCCCUCGUCCUCAUCAUCGUCGCCAUCGACACCAACAACUCUCUCCUCCUCCUCCUCUCCCUCCUCAUCAUCCUUUCCCUCUUCCUCGUCGCCCAUGUCUACAUCACCGCCCUCUGGCACCUCGCCUCCGUCGUCUCCGUCCUCGAGCCCGUCUACGGCCUCGCCGCCAUGAAGAAAAGCUACCACCUUCUCAAGGGUAGGACCAAGUACGCCGCCGUUCUCGUCGCUGCCUACCUCAUUGUCUGCAGCAUCAUCUCUGGGAUCUUCAGUGUCGUCGUCGUCCACGGUGGGGACGUCUACGGCGUCUUCACUAGGAUCGUCGUUGGAGGGUUCCUCGUGGGGCUGUUGGUCAUUGUCAAUUUGGUUGGGUUGUUGGUGCAGAGCGUGUUUUACUACGUUUGCAAGAGUUUCCAUCACCAGGGGAUUGAUAAGAGCGCGCUGCACGAUCACCUCGGAGGGUACCUUGGGGAAUACGUCCCUCUCAAGAGCAGCAUUCAGAUGGAGAAUUUGGAUGUAUGACUGUAACCAACCCCUACACGCGCAUGUGCGGAUUAUUUUGGUUGAUCUGUUUCAUUUGUUGCUUUAAAUAAGGAAUUUGAUCAAAUCCUGGUUUAAGAGUAGCUCAGCUCAGCUCAGUUCAGUUCACAUUCACCGGCGUUUGCUUCUUUCAUGUUUAUUAUGCACCAGGAUAAAUUUCUUGCGGUGGGAUUGCUUACUACUUACUAGAAGACAAUACAUUUAUAAUCAAAAAUUUCGAACUGUGUGAUUCUUUCUGAGCAAAUUAGUUCACGGACCCCUUUAAUGGGGAAGAGGCCAGGAAGCAGUGUUCAGAGUUUGCCUUUAAAGCAAAUCUUGAAUGGGGUGCCCUAUCUUGACUUUCGUGAAAGGUAAACUCUAUGGGAGGGAAGAGAGAGAGGGGAAGAUGUUGGGAUUCAGAUAAAACAGCUGAUUCUUUGUUUUGUAUUUUCUCUUUACUUUUGACAAUGUUUUUAGUUUUUCUUGAUAAAUUGCAAAGAUAUUUUUAUUUU